UACGGAGGGCGCGGGCGUUAAUCGGAAUUACUGGGCGUAAAGGGCCCGUAGGCGGUGGGUUACGUCUGCCGUGAAAUCCCCGGGCUCAACCUGGGAAUGGCGGUGGAAACGGGCUGACUGGAGUAUGGGAGAGGGUGAUGGAAUUCCAGGUGUAGCGGUGAAAUGCGUAGAGAUCUGGAGGAACACCAGUGGCGAAGGCGGUCACCUGGCCCAAUACUGACGCUGAGGCGCGAAAGCGUGGGGAGCUAACAGG
rnacentral:rRNA from 1 species